rnacentral:rRNA from 1 species
CCGGUUGAUCCUGCCAGAGGUUACUGCUAUCGAGGUUCGACUAAGCCAUGCGAGUCGAAUGUAGCAAUACAUGGCGAACUGCUCAGUAACACGUGGACAACCUGCCCUUAGGUUGGGUAUAAACCCGGGAAACUGGGUAUAAUACCCGAUAGGUCUCGAUUGCUGGAAUGCAUCGAGAUUUAAAGCUCCGGCGCCUAAGGAUGGGUCUGCGGCCUAUCAGGUAGUAGUGGGUGUAGCGUACCUACUAGCCUACGACGGGUACGGGUUGUGAGAGCAAGGGCCCGGAGAUGGAUUCUGAGACACGAAUCCAGGCCCUACGGGGUGCAGCAGGCGCGAAAACUUUACAAUGCUGGCAACAGCGAUAAGGGAACCUCGAGUGCCAGGUUACAAAUCUGGCUGUCGAGAUGCCUAAAAAGCAUUUCAUAGCAAGGGCCGGGCAAGACCGGUGCCAGCCGCCGCGGUAACACCGGCGGCUCGAGUGGUAACCGUUAUUAUUGGGU